GAAGUAAGGGGUGACCAAAAGGGCAGAUGCCCCGUCUGUGCUCUCUUCACAUAACCAAUGAGUUCCUCAUUUGCACAGACUCUGAAAAAGAAAGAAACUGAAAAUAGAAGCCAGGAAGAGGACUUUUGAUCAACCCUGAGCCUCAGUGUGACUGAACAUCACAGAUAAAAGACCUUUUCCCAGGCACAGGGAGUAGAAGCCCUGCUAGCUGAGCCAGGGAAAACAGAACCUCCUUCAGCAGAGACCUCUCAUCUGGGGUUGGCCACCAAGGCAGGGGAUACCCAAGGGAUGCUGGAAGUCAUUUCCCAGGCAUGGACGGAACACCCUAAUUUAUUACUGAAGACUUUUAAUAUGACAGAAAUCUUUCUCAUUACCAUUAAGAGAUUCUGCUUAGUCAACAGAUAUUCAUGGCCUUACAUGGAUCAGUAUUUAACAACUGUGGUUACAUGCCAACUCAGUAAUACACAUAUAUGGCUUUUAGUACCACAGCACUCAGCUGCCCCCUUCAACAAGGAAUGCUGCAAGCUGCAGAGCCAUGCUGACUAUCCUUAUAGCUCAAAGAAUCAACACAAAGAAGAACUUUGGCAAAAAGGAAUGUGUUUUUGCUUUUUCCUCGGUCCACAAGACAUGGUAACCUGA
rnacentral:lncRNA from 1 species